AACGAACGCUGGCGGCAGGCCUAACACAUGCAAGUCGAGCGAGAUCUUCGGAUCUAGCGGCGGACGGGUGAGUAACGCGUGGGAACGUACCUUUUGCUACGGAAUAGCCUCGGGAAACUGGGAGUAAUACCGUAUGUGCCCUUCGGGGAAGAUUUAUCGGCAAAAGAUCGGCCCGCGUUGGAUUAGGUAGUUGGUGAGGUAACGGCUCACCAAGCCGACGAUCCAUAGCUGGUUUGAGAGGAUGAUCAGCCACACUGGGACUGAGACACGGCCCAGACUCCUACGGGAGGCAGCAGUGGGGAAUCUUAGACAAUGGGGGAAACCCGUGAUCUAGCCAUGCCGCGUGAGCGAUGAAGGCCUUAGGGUUGUAAAGCUCUUUCAGCUGGGAAGAUAAUGACGGUACCAGCAGAGGAAGCCCCGGCUAACUCCGUG
rnacentral:rRNA from 1 species